rnacentral:sRNA from 1 species
AUGAUAUACAUGUCCUCCAUUUGCCCACAGAGCAGGUACAGCAGGAGCUGCAUCAGUGCAAGCUUCCUCACCCUUCUCUGCCAAUGUGCUUCAAUCCUGAGUUGGAGGAACCCCCUAAUCUUCCUCUUCCAGUGGGACAGGACGUAGCUUUUAAACAAGGACUGUGCUAAC